rnacentral:rRNA from 1 species
CGAACGGGUGAGUAACACGUGGGCAACCUGCCCAAAAGAGGGGGAUAACACUUGGAAACAGGUGCUAAUACCGCAUAACCAUAGUUACCGCAUGGUAACUAUGUAAAAGGUGGCUAUGCUACCGCUUUUGGAUGGGCCCGCGGCGCAUUAGCUAGUUGGUGGGGUAAAGGCUUACCAAGGCAAUGAUGCGUAGCCGAACUGAGAGGUUGAUCGGCCACAUUGGGACUGAGACGCGGCCCAAACUCCUACGGGAGGCAGCAG